rnacentral:rRNA from 1 species
UACGGGGGGGGUAAGCGUUGUUCGGAAUUACUGGGCGUAAAGGGCUCGUAGGCGGCCAACUAAGUCGGACGUGAAAUCCCUCAGCUUAACUGGGGAACUGCGUCCGAUACUGGAUGGCUUGGAUUUGGGAGAGGGAUGCGGAAUUCCAGGUGUAGCGGUGAAAUGCGUAGAUAUCAGGAGGAACACCAAUGGCGAAGGCAGCUCACUGGGACGGUAUUGACGCUGAGACGCGAAAGCGUGGGGAGCAAACAGG